AUUGAACGCUGGCGGCAUGCCUUACACAUGCAAGUCGAACGGUCCUCUGUCUUUCGGGAUGCUGACGAGUGGCGAACGGGUGAGUAAUACAUCGGAACGUGCCUAGUAGUGGGGGAUAACUACUCGAAAGAGUGGCUAAUACCGCAUGAGAUCUAUGGAUGAAAGCAGGGGACCUUCGGGCCUUGUGCUACUAGAGCGGCCGAUGGCAGAUUAGGUGGUUGGUGAGAUAAAAGCUUACCAAGCCUACGAUCUGUAGCUGGUCUGAGAGGACGAUCAGACACACUGGGACUGAGACACGGCCCAGACUCCUACGGGAGGCAGCAGUGGGGAAUUUUGGACAAUGGGGGAAACCCUGAUCCAGCAAUGCCGCGUGCAGGAUGAAGGCCUUCGGGUUGUAAACUGCUUUUGUACGGAACGAAAAGUCUUGGGUUAAUACCCUGGGAUCAUGACGGUACCGUAAGAAUAAGCACCGGCUAACUACGUGCCAGCCGCCGCCGUAAAAC
rnacentral:rRNA from 1 species